AAGGGAGCUUGCUCCCGGAUGUUAGCGGCGGACGGGUGAGUAACACGUGGGUAACCUGCCUGUAAGACUGGGAUAACUCCGGGAAACCGGAGCUAAUACCGGAUAGUUCCUUGAACCGCAUGGUUCAAGGAUGAAAGACGGUUUCGGCUGUCACUUACAGAUGGACCCGCGGCGCAUUAGCUAGUUGGUGGGGUAAUGGCUCACCAAGGCGACGAUGCGUAGCCGACCUGAGAGGGUGAUCGGCCACACUGGGACUGAGACACGGCCCAGACUCCUACGGGAGGCAGCAGUAGGGAAUCUUCCGCAAUGGACGAAAGUCUGACGGAGCAACGCCGCGUGAGUGAUGAAGGUUUUCGGAUCGUAAAGCUCUGUUGUUAGGGAAGAACAAGUGCGAGAGUAACUGCUCGCACCUUGACGGUACCUAACCAGAAAGCCACGGCUAACUACGUGCCAGCAGCCGCGGUAAUACGUAGGUGGCAAGCGUUGUCCGGAAUUAUUGGGCGUAAAGGGCUCGCAGGCGGUUUCUUAAGUCUGAUGUGAAAGCCCCCGGCUCAACCGGGGAGGGUCAUUGGAAACUGGGAAACUUGAGUGCAGAAGAGGAGAGUGGAAUUCCACGUGUAGCGGUGAAAUGCGUAGAGAUGUGGAGGAACACCAGUGGCGAAGGCGACUCUCUGGUCUGUAACUGACGCUGA
rnacentral:rRNA from 1 species